AGUGCUGGCUUGGAAGCCCCUGGGGCACAAAGUAGAGAUGCAACCCAGCCCAGCCUAGGCCAGAUGGGCCCAUGAGGACCCCAGACCUCAUUCAGUUCUUACUGAUCUUUUGGGAACAGCACCCAAGUAGAAGCUCCAUGUUUGGUUGAGCCUGUGCCUGCCUGCGUGUGCCCGCGGAUGCCCAUGAUCUCGUGCCCAUAGGUACAUUGAAGAAUCAAGCGCAAAGUACUGAGUAGAGUUCCCUGUGCUCUACAGUUAUUAUAAGAUAUUGAAUAGGGCUUUCCUGGUGGCGCAGUGGUUGAGAGUCUGCCUGCCAAUGCAGGGGACACGGGUUCGAGCCCUGGUCUGGGAAGAUCCCACAUGCCGCGGAGCAACUGGGCCCGUGAGCCACAACUACUGAGCCUGUGCGUCUGGAGCCUGUGCUCCGCAACAAGAGAGGCCGCGAUAGUGAGAGGCCCGCGCACCGCGAUGAAGAGUGGCCCCCACUUGCCGCAACUAGAGAAAGCCCUCACACAGAAACGAAGACCCA